UGGUGGAGUGAUUUGUCUGGUUAAUUCCGAUAACGAACGAGACCUUAACCUGCUAAAUAGCCAGGCCGGCUUCGGCUGGUCGCCGGCUUCUUAGAGGGACUGUCAGCGUCUAGCUGACGGAAGUUUGAGGCAAUAACA
rnacentral:rRNA from 1 species